rnacentral:rRNA from 1 species
UGGGGAAUUUUGGACAAUGGGCGAAAGCCUGAUCCAGCAAUGCCGCGUGUGUGAAGAAGGCCUUCGGGUUGUAAAGCACUUUUGUCCGGAAAGAAAUCCUUGGCUCUAAUACAGUCGGGGGAUGACGGUACCGGAAGAAUAAGCACCGGCUAACUACGUGCCAGCAGCCGCGGUAAUACGUAGGGUGCAAGCGUUAAUCGGAAUUACUGGGCGUAAAGCGUGCGCAGGCGGUUUGCUAAGACCGAUGUGAAAUCCCCGGGCUCAACCUGGGGAACUGCAUUGGUGACUGGCAGGCUAGAGUAUGGCAGAGGGGGGUAGAAUUCCACGUGUAGCAGUGAAAUGCGUAGAGAUGUGGAGGAAUACCGAUGGCGAAGGCAGCCCCCUGGGCCAAUACUGACGCUCAUGCACGAAAGCGUGGGGAGCAAACAGGAUUAGAUACCCUGGUAGUCCACGCCCUAAACGAUGUCAACUAGUUGUUGGGGAUUCAUUUCCUUAGUAACGUAGCUAACGCGUGAAGUUGACCGCCUGGGGAGUACGGUCGCAAGAUUAAAACUU